GAUGAACGCUGGCGGCGUGCCUAAUACAUGCAAGUCGAGCGAACCACUUCGGUGGUGAGCGGCGAACGGGUGAGUAACACGUAGGUGAUCUGCCCAUCAGACGGGGACAACGAUUGGAAACGAUCGCUAAUACCGGAUAGGACGAAAGUUUAAAGGUGCUUCUGGCACCGCUGAUGGAUGAGCCUGCGGCGCAUUAGCUAGUUGGUAGGGUAAAGGCCUACCAAGGCGACGAUGCGUAGCCGACCUGAGAGGGUGAACGGCCACACUGGGACUGAGAAACGGCCCAGAAUCCUACGGGAGGCAGCAGUAGGGAAUCUUGGGCAAUGGGCGAAAGCCUGACCGAGCAACGCCGCGUGAAUGAUGAAGGCCUUCGGGUUGUAAAAUUCUGUUAUAAGGGAAGAACGACUUUAGUAGGAAAUGGCUAGAGUGUGACGGUACCUUAUGAGAAAGCCACGGCUAACUACGUGCCAGCCGCCGCCGUAAGAC
rnacentral:rRNA from 1 species